rnacentral:rRNA from 1 species
UGGGGAAUAUUGGGCAAUGGACGCAAGUCUGACCCAGCAACGCCGCGUGAAGGAAGAAGGCUUUCGGGUUGUAAACUUCUUUGACAGGGGAAGAGCAGAAGACGGUACCCUGAAAACAAGCCACGGCUAACUACGUGCCAGCAGCCGCGGUAAUACGUAGGUUGCAAGCGUUGUCCGGAUUUACUGGGUGUAAAGGGCGUGUAGGCGGAGAUGCAAGUUGGGAGUGAAAUCCAUGGGCUCAACCCAUGAACUGCUUUCAAAACUGUAUCCCUUGAGUAUCGGAGAGGCAAGCGGAAUUCCUAGUGUAGCGGUGAAAUGCGUAGAUAUUAGGAGGAACACCAGUGGCGAAGGCGGCUUGCUGGACGACAACUGACGCUGAGGCGCGAAAGCGUGGGGAGC